rnacentral:tRNA from 1 species
UUUACUAUGACAGAUUAAUGUAAUGAAUUUAAAAUUCAUAAAUGAAAUAUUUAUAUUUUUAGUAGAA